AUUUAUGUAGUUUAAUAAAAACAUUACAUUUUCAAUGUAAAAAUAAAAAUUUAUUUUUUAUAAAUA
rnacentral:tRNA from 1 species